rnacentral:lncRNA from 1 species
CGGCAGCGGUGGGGAGCGGAGCUCCUUGCGGAGCGGAGCUGGAUGCUUGUGGCUGCGCGGAGGUUGCAGUGCACCGUUGGAUAUACAGACAUCAGCCGUCAUGAUCUGUGGCCCUUACUGCUGCCUACUGCCCUCUCUGCUACCACACACAGUAUGAAUCCUUAUGAAUCAUGUCAGAAGACAUCACGUCAUCUUCCCAAGAUGAUUAUACAGAGGAUUUUGAGGAUCUGAAUAGCUUUGAAGAACUGUUUGGGCAGCGCUCUGAGCAUUCAGCAGGGAAAGGAGAUUAGUACGAGAUAACAGUACUCCUAAAAAGAUGACUGCACCAGAGAUGAUUGCAGAGCAAAGCUAUACCUGCCGUUUUACCAACAGAUGCAGGAAGAAUGAGACACCUUUUGGCUGUCAUUGCCAUCAGCAAGGAGCAAAACACCUGCAAAAAAGAUUUGGACUUCUGGGAUAUCCUUGACAUCAACCUGCAAAGUGGCCCACGCUUGGAGGGCCACCCGGCCUCUCGCCAGUGCCAGCUCUUCACGUUAAACCAAUACGGCAUCAAUGAGCUUAGCUAAGGAGGCACAGCUGACACCAUUGGCCAUAGCGGACAUCCUGUAAGCAUGUGUGCAUCACACCUUCUGUUGCAUUCCAGCCUGUGGGGACUUUGGAAAAACUUAAAGCUUUUCUAUUAAAGUAAAUAUUGAUGAAUGUCAGUGUUGUACCUCUGUAAUUCUACAUCAGAUGCUGCAAAGCAGUCACACAAUAAA